CAAUGUUAUUUCAAGCGUGUCUCUUGGAAAGGCUGUUGCUCCUGAUGUCUACAAAUUGUUUGAGUUUUUCUAUUUUCAGAUUCAUGAUAAAUUUGGUGGUAAGGUGUCAGUAAUCAAGGACCAGCUUAGAAUUUGUCGAGCAAAGUUGGGUGAUUCCAUGUAUGGCGUGAGGG